rnacentral:rRNA from 1 species
GACGAACGCUGGCUGCGUGCUUAACACAUGCAAGUCGAACGGAAAGGCCCUGCUUUUGUGGGGUGCUCGAGUGGCGAACGGGUGAGUAACACGUGAGUAACCUGCCCUUGACUUUGGGAUAACUUCAGGAAACUGGGGCUAAUACCGGAUAGGAGCUCCUGCUGCAUGGUGGGGGUUGGAAAGUUUCGGCGGUUGGGGAUGGACUCGCGGCUUAUCAUCUUGUUGGUGGGGUAGUGGCUUACCAAGGCUUUGACGGGUAGCCGGCCUGAGAGGGUGACCGGCCACAUUGGGACUGAGAUACAGCCCACACUCCUACGGGAGGCAGCAGUGGGGAAUAUUGCACAAUGGGCGGAAGCCUGAUGCAACAACGCCGCGUGCGGGAUGACAGCCUUCGGGUUGUAAACCGCUUUCGCCUGUGACGAAGCGUGAGUGACGGUAAUGGGUAAAGAAGCACCGGCUAACUACGUGCCAACAGCCGCGGUGAUACGUAGGGUGCGAGCGUUGUCCGGAUUUAUUGGGAGUAAAGGGCUCGUAGGUGGUUGAUCGCGUCGGAAGUGUAAUCUUGGGGCUUAACCCUGAGCGUGCUUUCGAUACGGGUUGACUUGAAGAAGGUAGGGAGAAAUGGAAUUCCUGGUGGAGCGGUGGAAUGCGCAGAUAUCAGGAGGAACACCAGUGGCGAAGGCGGUUCUCUGGGCCUUUCCUGACGCUGAGGAGCGAAAGCGUGGGGAGCGAACAGGCUUAGAUACCCUGGUAGUCCACGCUGUAAACGGUGGGUACUAGGUGUGGGGUCCAUUCCACGGGUUCCGUGCCGUAGCUAACGCUUUAAGUACCCCGCCUGGGGAGUACGGCCGCAAGGCUAAAACUCAAAGGAAUUGACGGGGCCCCGCACAAGCGGCGGAGCAUGCGGAUUAAUUCGAUGCAACGCGUAAAACCUUACCUGGGUUUGACAUGGAUCGGGAGUGCUCAGAGAUGGGUGUGCCUCUUUUGGGGUCGGUUCACAGGUGGUGCAUGCCUGUCGUCAGCUCGUGUCGUGAGAUGUUGGGUUAAGUCCCGCAACGAGCGCAACCCUUGUUCACUGUUGCCAGCACGUUAUGGUGGGGACUCAGUGGAGACCGCCGGGGUCAACUCGGAGGAAGGUGGGGAUGACGUCAAGUCCUCAUGCCCCUUAUGUCCAGGGCUUCACGCAUGCUACAAUGGCUGGUACAGAGAGUGGCGAGCCUGUGAGGGUGAGCGAAUCUCGGAAAGCCGGUCUCAGUUCGGAUUGGGGUCUGCAACUCGACCUCAUGAAGUCGGAGUCGCUAGUAAUCGCAGAUCAGCAACGCUGCGGUGAAUACGUUCCCGGG